rnacentral:rRNA from 1 species
AGUAGGGCGGGACACGUGUUAUCCUGUCUGAAUAUGGGGGGACCAUCCUCCAAGGCUAAAUACUCCUGACUGACCGAUAGUGAACCAGUACCGUGAGGGAAAGGCGAAAAGAACCCCUGUGAGGGGAGUGAAAUAGAACCUGAAACCGUGUACGUACAAGCAGUAGGAGCACCUUCGUGGUGUGACUGCGUACCUUUUGUAUAAUGGGUCAGCGACUUAUAUUCAGUGGCAAGGUUAACCAUCUAGGGGAGCCGUAGGGAAACCGAGUCUUAACUGGGCGCCAUAGUCUCUGGAUAUAGACCCGAAACCGAGUGAUCUAGCCAUGGGCAGGUUGAAGGUUGAGUAACAUCAACUGGAGGACCGAACCGACUAAUGUUGAAAAAUUAGCGGAUGACUUGUGGCUAGGGGUGAAAGGCCAAUCAAACUCGGAGAUAGCUGGUUCUCCCCGAAAGCUAUUUAGGUAGCGCCUCGGACGAAUACUACUGGGGGUAGAGCACUGUUAAGGCUAGGGGGUCAUCCCGACUUACCAACCCUUUGCAAACUCCGAAUACCAGUAAGUACUAUCCGGGAGACACACGGCGGGUGCUAACGUCCGUCGUGGAGAGGGAAACAACCCAGACCGCCAGCUAAGGUCCCAAAUUACAGCUAAGUGGGAAACGAUGUGGGAAGGCUUAGACAGCUAGGAUGUUGGCUUAGAAGCAGCCAUCAUUUAAAGAAAGCGUAAUAGCUCACUAGUCGAGUCGGCCUGCGCGGAAGAUGUAACGGGGCUAAGUUGUAAACCGAAGCUGCGGCAAUGUUCUAUGAAC